UGUGCCCUGGGAUAGAUAAGCGA
rnacentral:miRNA from 1 species